rnacentral:misc_RNA from 1 species
GUGUGUUCCAUUUGUCGAUGGCAGCGUAUUUCUUCAUUCCUUUAGAUCUAUCUCCACAUUCUAGCAACCGGUUCACUUGAUCAAUGUGCCCAUUGAUACGGUUGUCCAAGAUGAGUGAGACCAACAACUCCCCGACGUCUUUUUCUGGCACAUUAAGCUCCUUGGAAAUGAAGGGAAUCCGGAUUCUUGUGUAAGGCUUAAUGAUCUUCAGCAGCACUUGGGUUCUGACAUUUCUUAAAAGAUCUUCAAUGUAAUUUCUGAUGAAGGGAUCAUCCAUUAUUGUUCUUCUAUUACUCUUAAGAAUUUUCUCAAACUCUAAGAUCUCAUUUCGUUGA